rnacentral:tRNA from 2 species
AAGUUUAGGUUAAACCAAACCAAGGGCCUUCAAAGCCCUAAACAAGAGACAUCCGCCCUCCUAAC